rnacentral:rRNA from 1 species
GAUCCUGGCUCAGAUUGAACGCUGGCGGCAGGCCUAACACAUGCAAGUCGAACGGUAACAGGAAGAAGCUUGCCUCUUUGCUGACGAGUGGCGGACGGGUGAGUAAUGUCUGGGAAACUGCCUGAUGGAGGUGGAUAACUACUGGAAACGGUAGCUAAUACCGCAUAACGUCGCAAGACCAAAGAGGGGGACCUUCGGGCCUCUUGCCAUCGGAUGUGCCCAGAUGGGAUUAGCUAGUAGGG